UACAUACAUGAUAGCAAUUAAAAAAAAACUAAAAAGAAGAAGAUUUUCUACUCUAACAUAAAUAGGGGACUCCAAUUAUAUAUCAAGUGUGGGUCCGAAAAAUAAAUAUAAUAUUUUUGUGUGUGUUUUUCUUUUCUUCCAGCAUUAAGAAGGUUCCCAUCCCUAUCAGGAAUCUUCAAUUGAUGGCUGUGAUCCUUGUAUGAUAUGAGCAACUUGCAAUUAUAAAAUAUAUUUAACAGGAUAGUGAUGUAUAACAUAUAUAUAAUUUGAUUAGUCCUCCUUGGCAACCUCUAAUUAUUUUAACUAGUGGAUAAUGCCAUGUUAAUAAAGAAAUAUCAAUUUGAACCGACUGCUAGAAAAUCUUCUUUCAUUAGCCAUUCUCAAAAGGAAAAGGCCAACCACAACAGUAUUGUCAAAUAUUUUAAACACAAAAAUACCCUUGUUGCAGUUAUGAUUUAUUAAAGAAGAUUGGGACAUCUAUCAUAUUUUAAAAUGAUAUAUUGUAAAUACAUCGUACUAAGACAGACAAAUCUCAACUAGUUUAAUUGAGAUUUAGAGAAACUUUUACUCUGCAUAAUCUGCCACCAAAGUUUACCAAGCAUGUAAUGAAAGCAACAUUCAAAGAAAAAUAGGAAAGCAAAGGUAAAUAUUAUCACAUUGUGAAGCAGUCAAGGCAAACAAUUUUGAGAGAGCUAUUUGACAUGAAGGGAACUUCCAUAAAAUAUGAUAUAAGAGAGCAGGGACCAGAAAUGUUUGAUUUUAGUUAAUGUUCUCUUAAAUAAAACAAAACAUUAUGAUUUUUCUCUAUAUAAUAAACUUUGUCUCUGUUAUAACA